rnacentral:rRNA from 1 species
GAUGAACGCUGGCGGCGUGCCUAAUACAUGCAAGUCGAGCGAACGGACGAGAAGCUUGCUUUUCUGAUGUUAGCGGCGGACGGGUGAGUAACACGUGGAUAACCUACCUAUAAGACUGGGAUAACUUCGGGAAACCGGAGCUAAUACCGGAUAAUAUUUUGAACCGCAUGGUUCAAAAGUGAAAGACGGUCUUGCUGACACUUAUAGAUGGAUCCGCGCUGCAUUAGCUAGUUGGUAAGGUAACGGCUUACCAAGGCAACGAUGCAUAGCCGACCUGAGAGGGUGAUCGGCCACACUGGAACUGAGACACGGUCCAGACUCCUACGGGAGGCAGCAGUAGGGAAUCUUCCGCAAUGGGCGAAAGCCUGACGGAGCAACGCCGCGUGAGUGAUGAAGGUCUUCGGAUCGUAAAACUCUGUUAUUAGGGAAGAACAUAUGUGUAAGUAACUGUGCACAUCUUGACGGUACCUAAUCAGAAAGCCACGGCUAACUACGUG